UACGUAGGGGGCAAGCGUUGUCCGGAAUUAUUGGGCGUAAAGCGCGUGUAGGCGGUCCGGUAAGUCGGCUGUGAAAGUCCAGGGCUCAACCCUGGGAUGCCGGUCGAUACUGCCGGACUAGAGUUCGGAAGAGGCGAGUGGAAUUCCCGGUGUAGCGGUGAAAUGCGCAGAUAUCGGGAGGAACACCAAUGGCGAAGGCAGCUCGCUGGGACGUUACUGACGCU
rnacentral:rRNA from 1 species